UAGAGUUUGAUCCUGGCUCAGGAUGAACGCUAGCUACAGGCUUAACACAUGCAAGUCGAGGGGAAACGGCGUUCUAGCUUGCUAGAACGGACGUCGACCGGCGCACGGGUGAGUAACGCGUAUCCAACCUGGCCCGAAGUAGGGAAUAAUCCGUAGAAAUGCGGUCUAAUGCCCUAUGUGGUUCGAAGAAGACAUCCGAUUUGAAUUAAAGAUUCAUCGCUUCGGGAUGGGGAUGCGUCUGAUUAGGCAGAAGGCGGGGCAACGGCCCACCUUACCGACGAUCAGUAGGGGUUCUGAGAGGAAGGUCCCCCACAUUGGAACUGAGACACGGUCCAAACUCCUACGGGAGGCAGCAGUGAGGAAUAUUGGUCAAUGGAGGCAACUCUGAACCAGCCAAGUAGCGUGCAGGACGACGGCCCUAUGGGUUGUAAACUGCUUUUAUAAGGGGAUAAAGGAUGCCACGUGUGGUGUUUUGCAUGUACCUUAUGAAUAAGGACCGGCUAAUUCCGUGCCAGCAGCCGCGGUAAUACGGAAGGUCCGGGCGUUAUCCGGAUUUAUUGGGUUUAAAGGGAGCGCAGGCGGGCGAUUAAGCGUGACGUGAAAUGCAGCGGCUCAACCGUAUGAAGUGCGUCGCGAACUGGUUGCCUUGAGUGAGUUCGACGUGCGCGGAAUUCGUGGUGUAGCGGUGAAAUGCUUAGAUAUCACGAAGAACUCCGAUUGCGAAGGCAGCGCACGAGGCCUUUACUGACGCUAAAGCUCGAAAGUGCGGGUAUCGAACAGGAUUAGAUACCCUGGUAGUCCGCACGGUAAACGAUGGAUGCCCGCUGUCUGCGAUACACUGUAGGCGGCCAAGAGAAAUCGUUAAGCAUCCCACCUGGGGAGUACGCCGGCAACGGUGAAACUCAAAGGAAUUGACGGGGGCCCGCACAAGCGGAGGAACAUGUGGUUUAAUUCGAUGAUACGCGAGGAACCUUACCCGGGCUUGAACUGCAGGCGUACGAUACAGAGAUGUUGAGGCCCUUCGGGGCGCCUGUGGAGGUGCUGCAUGGUUGUCGUCAGCUCGUGCCGUGAGGUGUCGGCUUAAGUGCCAUAACGAGCGCAACCCCUUUCUCCAGUUGCCAUCAGGUUAUGCUGGGCACUCUGGAGACACUGCCACCGUAAGGUGUGAGGAAGGUGGGGAUGACGUCAAAUCAGCACGGCCCUUACGUCCGGGGCUACACACGUGUUACAAUGGGUGGUACAGAGAGUCGGUGCAUCGCAAGUUGCAUCUAAUCAUGAAAGCCAUCCUCAGUUCGGAUUGGGGUCUGCAACCCGACCCCAUGAAGCUGGAUUCGCUAGUAAUCGCGCAUCAGCCAUGGCGCGGUGAAUACAAUGCCGGGCCUUGCACUCACCGCCCGUCAAG
rnacentral:rRNA from 1 species